rnacentral:rRNA from 1 species
UACGUAGGGGGCAAGCGUUGUCCGGAGUACUGGCGUAAGACGCACGCAGGCGGUCUCUUAAGUUUGGAGUGACAGUUGGUGGCUUAACUGCCAAAGUGCUUCGAAAACUGAGAGACUUGAGGGCUUCAGAGGGACACGGAAUUCCGGGUGGAGUGGUGGAAAUGCGUAGAGAUCCGGAGGAACACCAAAGGCGAAGGCAGUGUCCUGGGGAGUACCUGACGCUCAGGUGCGAAAGCCAGG